rnacentral:misc_RNA from 1 species
GUGAAUCAUCGAAUUUUUGAACGCAAAUUGCGCUUUUUACGGAAGGCAUGUCUGUUUGAGGGCACCAUUUAACAAUUAAUGUGAAUUUGGUGUGCACACGUUGAUUAGCUUUCCAAAUUUAUGUAUUAUUUUUGGUGGCGUAGAAUAAAAAGCGAGAUGCUUUUUUUCAGUUCGAGUGUAGUAAAAUUUUUUCUUGCUUGGGUUGUGAUAAGCGUGAUAGUGCAAUGGGUGUGUCGAUUUUAUGUAAUCGCUUUCUCA